rnacentral:lncRNA from 12 species
CCCCCCCCCCCCCCCCCCCCCCCCCCCCCCCCCCCCCCCCCCCCCCCCCCCCCCCCCCCCCCCCCCCCCCCCCCCCCCCCCCCCCCCCCCAUCCCACCCGGGCUGGGGUCAGGGGCAGCACCCCCACCCCAAAACCCAGCCCUGCGCCCAUCCCCUCCCCUCCAUCUGCUCCUGCUUAGCGAGGCCGGGAAGCGGAAUCCCGGCUAAGUGGAAGCCGAUGUUCCCGGGAGCAGCUGCCACGCAGAUGGGAAUGAAUCCCAGCGGGACCCCGGCGCGGGCACAGGGACCCCCUGCCUGGACCCACGGACAGGGAGAGGGGCAGCGCUGGGGCUCUGCGGGGUCACGAGGGACGAGCUAAAAUUAGGCACGGGAGGAGCCGGGCCUUGGCCUCAUCCCCGCCGGCAUCCAGCGCCAGCCCGGGGAUGCGAGGAAGAGCGGGAUGGACCCCCCUGAGCUGGGGUGGGGGGCUUCGGGAACGGCAUCCUCGUGUCCCCAACCCUGUGGCGGGGGUGUCCGAACUGGGCCCCCCCCCCCCCCCCCCCCCCCCCCCCCCCCCCCCCCCCCCGGGUGUCCGAACUGGGAGGGCCCCACCGAGGCAGGGAUGGACCCUCGGGGACAGGGAGGGACCCUUCGGAGCCGGCAGCAAAGCAAACAAGGAGCUGGGAGGAAGGAGGGAGCGGCGGCCGGAGCAGCCAAGGGGCGGCCGGGGCUGCGGCCAAAGGCAGCUGGGAAGGGCCGCGGCGCUUCCCAAUUUGGGCUUGAAAAACAAGAAAAAGAGAAAGCAGGGAGGGAGGGAAGGAGGGAGACGCCAAGCGCGGAGCCAGCGGCUGCCCGCAGGGAGGGAUGGGGCGGCCGCGGGCAUCCUGGCGCUGAGCUCGGGGCUGGAGGAGGCGCCCAGACCCCGGCAUCGCGAUCCCAUCCCGGGCAUCGCGAUCCCAUCCCGGGCAUCGCGAUCCCAUCCCGGGCAUCGCGAUCCCAUCCCGGGCAUCGCGAUCCCAUCCCGGGCAUCGCGAUCCCAUCCCGGGCAUCGCGAUCCCAUCCCGGGCAUCGCGAUCCCAUCCCGGGCAUCCCGACCCCAUCCCCGGGGUGUCCCGAUCCCAUCCCGGGGUAUCCUGAUCCCACUCCCGAGCAUCCCGAUCCCACUCCCGGGUAUCCUGAUCCCAUCCCGGGUAUCCCGAUCCCACUCCCGGGGUGUCCCGGUGCCGUGGGUCCCUGCCCGGCCAACACCCCAGUGCCCCGGGCUGGCGGCAGCGGAGCUGCGCCUUC